rnacentral:ncRNA from 1 species
AAAGGUUUGGUCCCAGCCUUAAAAUCAAUUGUUACUGUGUAUACACAUGCAAGUCUCCGCCCCCCUGUGAGAACGCCCUUAAAUCCCCAUUAGGGAUAAGGAGCCGAUAUCAGGCACAAUCAUUAGCCCAAGACAUCUAGCUACGCCACACCCACACGGGAUUUCAGCAGUGAUUAAUAUUGAAUAUAAGCGACAGCUUGAUUCAGUUAAAGUAAAUUAGAGCCGGCAAAUCUGGUGCCAGCCGCCGCGGUUACACCACGUGGCUCAAAUUGAUAUUCUUCGGCGUAAAGCGUGAUUAAAGCAUAUAGUAAAAUAGAGUUAAAUUAAAACUAAGCUGUAGCAAGCUUGUUCCUAAGAAACCCAAAAACGAAAGUUACUCUAAUUUAAUCAACUUGAACUCACGACAACUGGGGCACAAACUGGGAUUAGAUACCCCACUAUGCCCAGUCGUAAACCUUAACAUACUACACAAUCGCCUGGGAACUACGAGCAAAGCUUAAAACCCAAAGGACUUGACGGUACCCCACAUCCCCCUAGAGGAGCCUGUCCUAUAAUCGAUACUCCACGCUAAACCUCACCAUUUUUAGUUUUUCAGCCUGUAUACCUCCGUCGUCAGCUUACCGCAUGAGCGACCACAGUGAGCCUAAUGGUUUACCACCCAUACGUCAGGUCAAGGUGCAGCAAAUGAAAUGGGAAGAGAUGGGCUACAUUCUCUAACUUAGAGGAUACGAAAGACUACAUGAAACACAGUCAGAAGGCGGAUUUAGAAGUAAGAAGGAAUCAAAAUGUCCCUCUUAACCUGGCACUGGGGUGUGUACACACCGCCCGUCACCCUCUUCAAAAGCCACACCAAAGUAAUUAACAUAACCCCGCGAUACAGAAGAGGUAAGUCGUAACAUGGUAAGUAUACCGGAAGGUGUGCUUGGAUA